GAUGAACGCUGGCGGCGUGCCUAAUACAUGCAAGUCGAGCGAACAGACGAGGAGCUUGCUCCUCUGACGUUAGCGGCGGACGGGUGAGUAACACGUGGAUAACCUACCUAUAAGACUGGGAUCACUUCGGGAAACCGGAGCUAAUACCGGAUAAUAUAUUGAACCGCAUGGUUCAAUAGUGAAAGACGGUUUUGCUGUCACUUAUAGAUGGAUCCGCGCCGCAUUAGCUAGUUGGUAAGGUAACGGCUUACCAAGGCAACGAUGCGUAGCCGACGUGAGAGGGUGAUCGGCCACACUGGAACUGAGACAGGGUCCAGACUCCUACGGGAGGCAGCAGAAGGGAAUCUUCCGCAAUGGGCGAAAGCCUGACGGAGCAACGCCGCGUGAGUGAUGAAGGUCUUCGGAUCGUAAAACUCUGUUAUUAGGGAAGAACAAAUGUGUAAGUAACUAUGCACGUCUUGACGGUACCUAAUCAGAAAGCCACGGCUAACUACGUG
rnacentral:rRNA from 1 species